GAGUGUAACACGUGCCCGGCGAGGGGAAACAACCUCAAAAGCUUGCUUUUGAUGGGCGUCGACCGGCGCACGGGUGAGUAACGCGUAUCCAACCUGCCCAUCACUUGGGGAUAACCUUGCGAAAGUAAGACUAAUACCCAAUGAUAUCUCUAGAAGACAUCUGAAGGAGAUUAAAGAUUCAUCGGUGAUGGAUGGGGAUGCGUCUGAUUAGCUUGUUGGCGGGGUAACGGCCCACCAAGGCGACGAUCAGUAGGGGUUCUGAGAGGAAGGUCCCCCACAUUGGAACUGAGACACGGUCCAAACUCCUACGGGAGGCAGCAGUGAGGAAUAUUGGUCAAUGGGCGAGAGCCUGAACCAGCCAAGUAGCGUGCAGGAUGACGGCCCUGUGGGUUGUAAACUGCUUUUAUAAGGGAAUAAAGUGAGUCUCGUGAGACUUUUUGCAUGUACCUUAUGAAUAAGGACCGGCUAAUUCCGUGCCAGCAGCCGCGGUAAUACGGAAGGUCCGGGCGUUAUCCGGAUUUAUUGGGUUUAAAGGGAGCGUAGGCCGGAGAUUAAGCGUGUUGUGAAAUGUAGACGCUCAACGUCUGCACUGCAGCGCGAACUGGUUUCCUUGAGUACGCACAAAGUGGGCGGAAUUCGUGGUGUAGCGGUGAAAUGCUUAGAUAUCACGAAGAACUCCGAUUGCGAAGGCAGCUCACUGGAGCGCAACUGACGCUGAAGCUCGAAAGUGCGGGUAUCGAACAGGAUUAGAUACCCUGGUAGUCCGCACGGUAAACGAUGGAUGCCCGCUGUUGGUCUGUAUAGGUCAGCGGCCAAGCGAAAGCA
rnacentral:rRNA from 1 species